rnacentral:rRNA from 1 species
UACACUCCUACGGGAGACAGCAGUGGGGAAUUUUGGACAAUGGGCGAAAGCCUGAUCCAGCAAUGCCGCGUGAGUGAAGAAGGCCUUCGGGUUGUAAAGCUCUUUUGUCAGGGAAGAAACGGUGAAAGCUAAUAUCUUUUGCUAAUGACGGUACCUGAAGAAUAAGCACCGGCUAACUACGUGCCAGCAGCCGCGGUAAUACGUAGGGUGCAAGCGUUAAUCGGAAUUACUGGGCGUAAAGCGUGCGCAGGCGGUUUUGUAAGUCUGAUGUGAAAUCCCCGGGCUCAACCUGGGAAUUGCAUUGGAGACUGCAAGGCUAGAAUCUGGCAGAGGGGGGUAGAAUUCCACGUGUAGCAGUGAAAUGCGUAGAUAUGUGGAGGAACACCGAUGGCGAAGGCAGCCCCCUGGGUCAAGAUUGACGCUCAUGCACGAAAGCGUGGGGAGCAAACAGGAUUAGAAACCCGGGUAGUCCCAUGA